CCGAGUUUACAACUCCCAAACCCCUGUGAACAUACCUUAUCGUUGCCUCGGCGGAUCAGCCCGCGCCCGGUAAAACGGGACGGCCCGCCAGAGGACCCCUAAAACCCUAUUGUUUUCAUGUAACUUCUGAGUAACAAAACAAAUAAAUCAAAACUUUCAACAACGGAUCUCUUGGUUCUGGCAUCGAUGAAGAACGCAGCAAAAUGCGAUAAGUAAUGUGAAUUGCAGAAUUCAGUGAAUCAUCGAAUCUUUGAACGCACAUUGCGCCCGCCAGUAUUCUGGCGGGCAUGCCUGUUCGAGCGUCAUUUCAACCCUCAAGCCCCUCCGGGUUUGGUGUUGGGGAUCGGCGAGCCCCCCCUGCGGGACGAGCCGGCCCCUAAAUCUAGUGGCGGUCUCGCUGCAGCCUCCAUUGCGUAGUAGCUAACACCUCGCAACUGGAACGCGGCGCGGCCAAGCCGUUAAACCCCCCCAACUUCUGAAUGUUGACCUCGGAUCAGGUAGGAAUACCCGCUGAACUUAAGCAUAUCAAUAAGCGGAGGAAAAGAAACCAACAGGGAUUGCCCUAGUAACGGCGAGUGAAGCGGCAACAGCUCAAAUUUGAAAUCUGGCUCUCGGGCCCGAGUUGUAAUUUGUAGAGGAUGCUUUUGAUGCGGUGCCUUCCGAGUUCCCUGGAACGGGACGCCAUAGAGGGUGAGAGCCCCGUCUGGUUGGAUGCCAAAUCUCUGUAAAGCUCCUUCGACGAGUCGAGUAGUUUGGGAAUGCUGCUCUAAAUGGGAGGUAUAUGUCUUCUAAAGCUAAAUACCGGCCAGAGACCGAUAGCGCACAAGUAGAGUGAUCGAAAGAUGAAAAGCACUUUGAAAAGAGAGUUAAAAAGUACGUGAAAUUGUUGAAAGGGAAGCGUUUAUGACCAGACUUGGGCUUGGUUAAUCAUCUGGGGUUCUCCCCAGUGCACUUUUCCAGUCCAGGCCAGCAUCAGUUUUCCCCGGGGGACAAAGGCUUCGGGAAUGUGGCUCUCUUCGGGGAGUGUUAUAGCCCGUUGCGCAAUACCCUGGGGGGGACUGAGGUUCGCGCU
rnacentral:rRNA from 1 species